rnacentral:rRNA from 1 species
AACCUUUAGCAAAACAACUAUUAAAGGCAACGCCUGCCCAGUGAACAAUUAAACGGCCGCGGUACCCUAACCGUGCAAAGGUAGCACAAUCAUUUGUCUACUAAUUAUAGACCUGUAUGAACGGCAAAAUGAGGGCUUAACUGUCUCUUAUAAUAAAUCAAUUAAACUGAUCUCCUAGUAAAAAAGCUAGGAUACAAACAUAAGACCAGAAGACCCUGUGAAGCUUAAACUAAACUAUUAAAUCACAUAAUAGAUACUUUCGGUUGGGGCGACCUUGGAAACAAAAAGAACUUCCAAAUCAAAGACAUUCAAUCUACUAACCAGGCCAACAAGCCAAAAAAGACCCAGCAUUGCUGAUAAUUGAACCAAGUUACUCCAGGGAUAACAGCGCUAUCUUCUUCAAGAGCCCAUAUCAAAAAGAAGGUUUACGACCUCGAUGUUGGAUCAGGACAUCCUAAUGGUGCAGACGCUAUUAAGGGUUCGUUUGUUCAACGAUUAAUAGUCCC